rnacentral:rRNA from 1 species
UACGGAGGGUGCAAGCGUUGCUCGGAAUUAUUGGGCGUAAAGGGUAGGUAGGUGGUCUCAUUUGUCCGAGGUGAAAGCCUUGGGCUUAACCCAAGAAGUGCCUCGGAAACGGUGAGACUGGAGUCCUGGAGAGGGUCGUGGAAUUCCCGGUGUAGCGGUGAAAUGCGUAGAGAUCGGGAGGAACACCAGCGGCGAAGGCGGCGACCUGGACAGGUACUGACACUCAACUACGAAAGCGUGGGGAG